UGGGGAAUAUUGGACAAUGGGCGAAAGCCUGAUCCAGCCAUGCCGCGCGUGUGAAGAAGGUCUUCGGAUUGUAAAGCACUUUAAGUUGGGAGGAAGGGCAUUAACCUAAUACGUUGGUGUUUUGACGUUACCGACAGAAUAAGCACCGGCUAACUCUGUGC
rnacentral:rRNA from 1 species